CUGCUGCCUCCCGUAGGAGUUUGAGCCGUGUCUCAGUCCCAAUGUGGCCGUCCACCCUCUCAGGCCGGCUACUGAUCGUCGCCUUGGUGGGCCGUUACCCCGCCAACAAGCUAAUCAGACGCGGGUCCAUCUUACACCACCGGAGUUUUUCACACAAAUCCAUGCGGCUUCGUGCGCUUAUGCGGUAUUAGCACCUAUUUCUAAGUGUUAUCCCCCUGUAUAAGGCAGGUUACCCACGCGUUACUCACCCGUCCGCCACUAAG
rnacentral:rRNA from 1 species